AAUGGCGCUUUCUAAGACACGCAAGUAAACAAUUAUAAAAUAAAAAAAGGGUUAUACUUACACUUAUUUAAAUAUAUUUUUUUAUUGAUAUUGUCUCCCGCCCAAGUAUCUCUAACUUGUGGCAUUAAAAAUUCUCAACGUAAUUCGUCAAGUCACUUGUUAAUUAAUUAAUUAAUUAAUUAAUUAAUUAUGAUCAAUAAUCCAGUAGUUGAGUGUUCGAUUUCAACGUGGUAUCCGGAAUUUACAAAAAAUUCAUUAGAAACAGUUGUAUUAAAAAUACCAGAUAAUUUUCUUAAUUAUUUAGAGCAUGAUGCAUUUGUAUUGCCAGUCGAAGCUACUGACAAUAAAGUACGAAAUUUAAAGUGGUCUGAUGGUUCUUCUGGAGAUGAUAACCUAGCAGAGGAAUCAGCUCAACCAACAUUUCCAGAGUUUAGUAAAAAAAUUCAAGAUGUAAUCGAUGAUUUUGGAGCAGUAUUUAUAAAAUCCAAUUGGAGAACUCCUUCAGAUGCAAUGUGGGUAGCAGUAACGAAAUCAUUAAAGUGCACAUCACUUGAAGAAGUAUAUUUACUUUUAAAAAGUUCAGAUCGCAUUUCACGUGAUCUUACUGCAGUAAAAGAGCUGACGAGUGAUACCAAAGUAAUUCCGCCUUGCUUGGUAUUAAAAAAAUGGCGUGACAUAAAUCCAUGCACGGAAUUUCGUUGUUUUGUCGUGAAUAGAGAGUUAGUUGGCAUUUGUCAGAGAGAUGUCACUCAAUACCAUCAGUACAUAGAAAAUGAAAAAUAUAGUAUACAAACUGAUAUAAAAAGUUUAUUUAGGGAGCGUAUAAAAAAUCGAUUUCAACUAGACAACUAUACAUUUGAUGUGAUUCGUUACAAAAAAGACAAAGUAAAAAUACUUGAUUUCGGACCUUUGGAUGAGUCAACAACAAAAGGAACACUAUUUACCUAUCAAGAAUUAAUAAGUUCAAUAGUAGAACCACCAGAAUUUCGGUUUAUUGGUGAAGACAUGGGGAUUCAACCCAGUACUCCAAAUUACUUUUGCAUGCCCCAAGAACUUAAUGAAUAUUUUACCAGAGAAGGCUCUAAUGACAUGAUUGAAAUGAUCCGCAGGGCAGUUGAAACCCAACAAAUCGAAUAAACGGCUUAACAAUAAUUAUAUCAAUAUUGACUAAUACAUAAUUGCUUAUAAUUAUUAAAAAAAAAAAAAAAAGUAAAUAAAUCUAAAAAAUGUUAUUAAUUAAUUAAAAAAAAAAUAUUAAUUGUAGGAAGGGUGAUCAAAGAUAUUAAUAUACACCAAACAAUACAAUUAUUCUUUCAACCCACUGUACAAUCAUAUUCUCAAGAGUAUUUAUCAAUUAAUAAUAAAUUAAUGUUCAUUUUUAUUUUUAAUAUAAUUUUCAUUUUUUGUUUAUUAUUUACCUUUAUAAUUAGCAAACGUAAUUAAUAAUUAAGCUGAAAAUUAAGUAAUAUUAAUCUCUGUUAUUGAAGCCAUCUAGAUUUUUUUUUCUUAUUUGUUACUUAUUAAUAAAUCAUUCAUUAUGUACUUGUCAUUUGUGCAUUUUUCCAGUACUCAUUCUCUCAUACAAAUUUUUAUUUUUAUAUAUUAUUAUUAUUAUUAUUAUUAUUAUUAUUAUUAUUAUUACUGUUAUUAAUUAUUAAAUAUGUAUACACCGUGCAAUUGGUAUUUAAAUUAAUUUCUAUUUGAAACGAGUAAUUAAUUAUAAUCUCGUAUUACACUUUAUUACAUUAUUACAUUACAUACUAAAAAUUAAUUAUUUACAGAAUAGCAUUGCGAAUUACGAAUUGAUCGUAACAUUUUAUUAAAUACGCUAUUCCGCUUAACUUAUUGAUAUUAUUUUAAUUACUAUUGUUAAUAUCUGAAAUUUGUGCAAACGGAAUUACAUUGUAAUUAAUUAAUACAUUAUUGUUCACUCACCAGUGAUUUUAUUUUAAAUCUGUAACACUAAUUACCGUAUUGCAAUAAUGCAAUACAAUAUGUCAAUACUGUUAAGUGUUGAGUGACAAAUUUAAUAGCUCUUACAAAUUUACAUUACAAAAAAAUUAUUUCAUUAUAUAUUUAUAUAUAUAAUCUUAUCAACGACUUUUUUAAAGCAGCUUAAA